rnacentral:rRNA from 1 species
GUCCGCGCCGUAACGAUGAUUACUCGUUGUGUGCGAUAUACCGCACGUGACUGAGCGAAGCAUUAAGUAAUCCACCUGGGGAGUACAGUCGCAAGACUGAACUCAAGGAAUUGACGGGCCCGGCACAAGCGGAGGAACAUGUGGUUAAUUCGAUGAUACGCGAGGAACCUUACCCGGGCUUAAAUGCAGAGCGAUCGGAGCCGAAAGGUUCUUCCCUUCGGGGCGAUUUGCAAGGUGCUGCAUGGCUGUCGU